GACGAACGCUGGCGGCGUGCUUAACACAUGCAAGUCGAGCGGUAAGGCCCUUUCGGGGUACGACGAGCGGCGAACGGGUAGGAGUAACAACGUGGGUGGACCUCGCCCUCCAGCUCUGGGAGUAAGCCUGGGAAACGUAGGGUCGUAAUACUGGAGUAUGACUCCACGGUGGCAUGUCGUGGGGUGGAAAGCCUUGUGCGGCUGAGGAUGGGCCCGGCCGGCCUAUCAGCUUGUUGGGUGGGGG
rnacentral:rRNA from 1 species